rnacentral:rRNA from 1 species
AUGAAUAAAGACAAUUAUCAUGAACAAGGAAAUAUAAUAAUAAUGCUUUUAUUAUUGCCUCUAGGGCAUAUUUCCAACAGUCUGCGCGUGUCCUCCCCUGGCCCGCCCGUCAAUGACACAAGACGGGCCUUUUUCUAUCCGCCCCCUGCCUCCCUCCGGCCGCACCCCCUCCACUCUUUCCACUCUUCCCGUCGUUGCCGCCGCCGCCGCCGCUGCCAUUGCAGCCGUGCAGUUCGGACGCGAGCUUGCCCAACCCCUUCCCCUCGGCGCCGCCGAGCUACCCAACCACGGCCACCUAGUUUGCGCACCCGCCGACCGGUUUUGGGGCGGAUCCGGUCGGUCUUGAGCUCGGCCGGCUGUGGGAGGCCGGGCCGCGCCAUGGAUUGGCCGGGCACCUCGCCGGAAGGCCCUGGCAAGGCCGCAAGGCCACAUGCAGGCAGUGACUCCUCCUCUAGCCGCUCGGAUCUGCACCAUCGGCGGUCCGCCGGCAGAUACACGAAUGGCGGUCGGCCGGGCUCGGUGCUUGCCCAAAAACUCGCCGGCGCACCGUUGCCACUCAUUAAGUGCGACCACUGCCCAAGGAUGGUCGUGCGCCGCGUGUCUACAACGCCGGAACAUCCCGGAUGGGUGUUCAUCAAGUGCUUAAACGAUGGGGUAUGCGUUUUUUUUAGCUUCGGUUUGUGCUCUAGAUUUAACUAG